rnacentral:rRNA from 1 species
CCCUACGGGAGGCAGCAGUAGGGAAUCUUCCACAAUGGACGAAAGUCUGAUGGAGCAACGCCGCGUGAGUGAAGAAGGGUUUCGGCUCGUAAAGCUCUGUUGGUAGUGAAGAAAGAUAGAGGUAGUAACUGGCCUUUAUUUGACGGUAAUUACUUAGAAAGUCACGGCUAACUACGUGCCAGCAGCCGCGGUAAUACGUAGGUGGCAAGCGUUGUCCGGAUUUAUUUGGCGUAAAGCGAGUGCAGGCGGUUCCAAAAGACUUAUGUGAAAAGCCUCCGCCCCACCCGGGGA